AUACUUACCUGGCAGGGGAGAUAUCAUGGUCAUUAUGGUGAUUCUCCCAAGGCGAGACUUUGCCAUUGCACGUACGGCUUAGUUGACCCUUGCGAAUUCCCCACAUGUGGGAAUCUUGACUGCAAAGUUUAUGAUAGCGGGGGGACUGCGUUCGCGCUCUCCCCUA